CAUGUAGGCGGUUGUUUAAGUCUGAUGUGAAAGCCCUGGGCCCAACCCAGGAAGUGCAUUGGAUACUGGGCAACUUGAGUACGGGAGAGGAAAGUGGAAUUUCGAGUGUAGGGGUGAAAUCCGUAGAUAUUCGAAGGAACACCAGUGGCGAAGGCGGCUUUCUGGACCGAUACUGACGCUGAGAUGCGAAAGCGUGGGGAGCAAACA
rnacentral:rRNA from 1 species